AGUCCCAGAGAGAGAAGCAGGGUCUGAUCCGCAGCCUCCGUGGCAGCUGAUAAUCAGCACUUGCCUCUCUCUUUCUCUGUG
rfam:Myotis brandtii contig271193, whole genome shotgun sequence.